UUAUUAGUAUAAUAUAUAAAUAUUCCAGUUCAAUUGAACAGUUUGUUGUCUGGGUACAAUUAUUUUUAGGCAAUCAUAAAUCAGAGUGUUUACAAUAACAUGUAUCACAAUAACAUUAAUAUUUAGUUACAGUAAUAUUUUGUUUGUCCAUUUUAACAAAUUUCCAUUUUAACAUUUAUCCUUUUUAUGUCCCUUUCUUUCUGUUUUUAUUGUCUAGUCAUUGAUAAAAUAAGUCCCAUGUCAAGAAAAGUGUUUAGUUUCUUCUUUAUCUUUGAUAGUGUUAGUCUAUCCAUUUCUGCACAUUCUAAUAUUUUCUUAAUUACCUUCUCAUCUGUCAGGAUCUCAUCACACGUCCAUUGUUGAGCAUAUACAAUUCUAGCUGCAGCUUAUUCAUUCAUCUUAAUGAUCCUUUUAUAGCAACCCUUGAAGAAACUGGAUUUCUUCAAGGGCUGGAUCAGCAUUGUAGUUCUCCAUGGGCCAGCGGGGGAUGGGUGUGGGGGGAGACAGGAUGGGUGCCUUCUGCAGCACUCUGCUGGGUGAAAAUGGGCUGUGUGAGGGCCCUGCAAGGUCCCCAUGCGGCCUGUUUAUGGGUCUCUGGUGACCAGUAGCACUCUGCCAGCCGAAAAAGGACCACGUGGUGGCCUGAGCUGGUGGCAGCAGUGCAAGGGGGUUCACUGGGUUAAGGUGGAUAUUCGGUGGGAAUGGGGGCUGACCUGGUGGGUCAGCUGCUAUCUGGGUUCUUGAUGGGCUCUACUGCAGUCCUGGGCUCGACUGUGUUGUAGGGAAUGGCAGAGGACUAGUUGCCCGGGACUUGGGGGGGAGGUGGGAUAGACCGCCCCCCCAGGGAAGAGAUAUCCCCAUGCUCAACUGCGCGGAACGAAGCAGCGGAGGGCUGGCUGGUUGGUAUGUUGCCGUGAUAGACCAGACCAUUGGGAAGGGGGGACAUCAAAGUCAGCUGGUUCAAGAUCAGCCCUGUGUUUUUGGGCUGGCGUGAGCAUCCCAAGCUGCUCAGGCUGAGUCAACUGAAUCUUUCUGGCAAUUCCCCCAAGGUCUGGCUGCACAUCGUGGUCUGGUAUCUCCAGUCUCCAGAGCCACUCAGGUUCAGCAGUCCCGUCAUCCUCCAUUCGAGGAUUGUGGUCCUCGACUCCCUGGUUGAGGUCACUGGACGAUCCCUCACCGACUCCUGGAAUGAACCUUGGCUGCCAAGGUCUUCCUGCAAUUCAGGUUUUUGGAGACAGGUUACUCGGUGCAGACUUUGGGCCAUGCGCCUACCUAGUGCAUGAUCUCUGCCACCUCUUCUGCCACCCAUUGGGUCUUUUUCGGUGACAGAGUGCUGCUGGAGGCUGGGGAGGUCAAAAACAGGCCAGGUGGGGUGUCCAUGCAGCCCAUUUUGGCUGGUAGAGUCACCAUAAGCUGGACCUUUGAUACUUCCAGCCAGUCCCAUGAGCCAGAUUUAAGCACCUUGUGAGCUGGACCAUCCCAUGCGGGGAUUUGUCCCCUGUUUUAUAGCAUAAAUAGCUCCAAUUGUUUUCCUUACCUUUAUAGACAAAAUUUUAAUUGUGACAUUGAAUGAAACCAGAUUUUAAGGUGACAUAGUAGAAUUAUGAAAUUUUUGCCAUACUUAAUUUCAUUUUAAUUUUGGAAUCUAUGAUUUACUUUUACAUUGUAAUUAGAGAUAAAUGUCUGC